AUUGAACGCUGGCGGCAGGCUUAACACAUGCAAGUCGAGCGGAUGAAGGGAGCUUGCUCCUGGAUCCAGCGGCGGACGGGUGAGUAAUGCCUAGGAAUCUGCCUGGUAGUGGGGGAUAACGUCCGGAAACGGGCGCUAAUACCGCAUACGUCCUGAGGGUGAAAGUGGGGGAUCUUCGGACCUCACGCUAUUAGAUGAGCCUAGGUCGGAUUAGCUAGUUGGUGGGGUAAAGGCCUACCAAGGCGACGAUCCGUAACUGGUCUGAGAGGAUGAUCAGCCACACUGGAACUGAGACAAGGUCCAGACUCCUACGGGAGGCAGCAGUGGGGAAUAUUGGACAAUGGGCGAAAGCCUGAUCCAGCCAUGCCGCGUGUGUGAAGAAGGUCUUCGGAUUGUAAAGCACUUUAAGUUGGGAGGAAGGGCAGUAAGUUAAUACCUUGCUGGUUUGACGGUACCAAAAGAAUAAGCACCGGCUAACUACGUG
rnacentral:rRNA from 1 species